rnacentral:rRNA from 1 species
CCUACGGGAGGCAGCAGUGGGGAAUAUUGCACAAUGGGCGCAAGCCUGAUGCAGCAACGCCGCGUGAGGGACGAAGGCCUUCGGGUUGUAAACCUCUUUUAGUAGGGAAGAAGCGAAAGUGACGGUACCUGCAGAAAAAGCACCGGCUAACUACGUGCCAGCAGCCGCGGUAAUACGUAGGGUGCAAGCGUUGUCCGGAAUUAUUGGGCGUAAAGAGCUCGUAGGCGGUUUGUCGCGUCUGCUGUGAAAACCCGAGGCUCAACCUCGGGCCUGCAGUGGGUACGGGCAGACUAGAGUGCGGUAGGGGAGAUUGGAAUUCCUGGUGUAGCGGUGGAAUGCGCAGAUAUCAGGAGGAACACCGAUGGCGAAGGCAGAUCUCUGGGCCGUAACUGACGCUGAGGAGCGAAAGCAUGGGGAGCGAACAGGAUUAGAUACCCUGGUAGUCCAUGCCGUAAACGUUGGGAACUAGAUGUGGGGGCCAUUCCACGGCUUCCGUGUCGCAGCUAACGCAUUAAGUUCCCCGCCUCGGGAGUACGGCCGCAAGGCUAAAACUUAAAGGAAUUGACGG